rnacentral:rRNA from 1 species
GGCGUAAGCGCGCGCAGGCGGCUCUUUAAGUCUGGUGUGUAAUCCCCAGCCCUUACAUGGGGUCGCACUGGGAACUGGGGAGGUUGAGUGCCCCUUAAGAGAGUGGAAUUCCACGUGUAGCGGUGAAAUGCGUAAAGAUGUGGAGGAACCCCCGUGGCGAAGGGGACUCUCUGGGCUGUAACUGACGCUGAGGGGCGAAAGCGUGGGGAGGCAACCGGAUUAAAUUCCCUGGUAGUCCCCGCCGUAAACCAUGAAUGCUAGGUGUUAGGGGUUUCGAUGCCCUUGGUGCCGAAGUUAACACAUUAAGCAUUCCGCCUGGGGAGUACGGUCGCAAGACUGAAACUCAAAGGAAUUGACGGGGACCCGCCCAAGCAGGGGAGUAUGUGGUUUAAUUCAAAGCAUCUCGAAGAACCUUACCAGGUCUUGACUUCCCUCUGACCGGUCUAGAGAUAGGGCUUUCCUUCGGGACAGAUGAGACAGGUGGUGCAUGGUUGUCGUCAGCUCGUGGCGUGAGAUGUUGGGUUAAGUCCCGCAACGAGCGCCACCCUUAUGCUUAGUUGCCAGCAGGUCGAGCUGGGCACUCUAAUCAGACUGCCGGUGACAAACCGGAUGAAGGUGGGGAUGACGUCUCAUCAUCAUGCCCCUUAUGACCUGGGCUACACACGUACUACAAUGGCCGGUACAACGGGAAGCGAAGCCGCGAGGUGGAGCCAAUCCUAG